GUCUAUGGCCAUGCCACCCUGAAUGUGCCUGAUCUCGUCUGAUCUCAGAAGCUAAACAGGGUGGGGCCUGGUUAGUACUUGGAUGGGAGACCACCUAGGAAGAUCAGGUGCUGUAAGCA
rnacentral:rRNA from 1 species